rnacentral:rRNA from 1 species
UACAGAGGGUGCAAGCGUUAAUCGGAAUUACUGGGCGUAAAGCGUGCGUAGGCGGUUUUGUAAGUCGGGUGUGAAAGCCCCGGGCUCAACCUGGGAAUGCCAUUCGAGACUGCGUAGCUAGGGUGCGGAAGAGGGAAGCGGAAUUUCCGGUGUAGCGGUGAAAUGCGUAGAUAUCGGAAGGAACACCAGUGGCGAAAGCGGCUUCCUGGUCCAGCACCGACGUUCAGGCACGAAAGCGUGGGGAGCAAACAGG